rnacentral:rRNA from 1 species
UAUCUCUGUAGAGUCUGCAUAUCAAUAAGCGGAGGAAAAGAAACUAACUAGGAUUCCCUCAGUAACGGCGAGUGAAGCGGGAAGAGCUCAAAUUUGAAAUCUUCAAGGUUCUACCUUGACGAAUUGUAGUUUAAAGAAGUGUUUUCUGUUGGAGUUUUGGUAAAAGUUCUUUGGAAUAGGACAUCAUAGAGGGUGAGAAUCCCGUAUUUGACCAUUAUUUCCAGCUUUGUGAUACACUUUCAAAGAGUCGGAUUGUUUGGGAAUGCAGUCCAAAAUGGGUGGUAAAUUUCAUCUAAAGCUAAAUACUGGCGAGAGACCGAUAGCGAACAAGUACCGUGAGGGAAAGAUGAAAAGAACUUUGAAAAGAGAGUUAAACAGUACGUGAAAUUGUCAAAAGGGAAGCGUUUGACACCAGUGUUGUUUUCUCGAAAAUCAAUUAAAAAAGGCAGGAUUUUGUGUUGUAUUGACUUUAUCAGCUUUCUGCACUCUUUUCUUGUCUUUUUUAAUGCACUUUACGUUUAACAAGUCAACAUCAAUUUCUUUUGUUGUAAAAGGGUCAUUGGAAGGUGGCUUUCUUUUCGGAGAAAGUGUUUAUAGCCUUUGGCCUCUGCAAUCGGAGAGAUUGAGGUCUGCAGCGUAGAUCCUUCGGGGUUAGAUACAUUUGUGCUAAGUUAUAGCCUUUCAUAGACAACUUGUUGACUAUGAUCAGUCAUGUAGCUUACUCGCUUAUGCUAUUUUACCUACGCUUAGGAUGUUGAAGAUGUAGCACAUCAU